rnacentral:rRNA from 1 species
ACUGCUCAGUAACACGUGGACAACCUGCCCUAAGGAAGGGGAUAACCUCGGGAAACUGAGGAUAAUACCCUAUAGGUUACAGAUGCUGGAAUGCCCUGUAACCGAAAGCUCCGGCGCCUUAGGAUGGAUCUGCGGCCGAUUAGGUUGUUGUUGGGGUAACGGCCCAACAAGCCGAUAAUCGGUACGGGUUGUGGGAGCAAGAGCCCGGAGUUGGAUUCUGAGACACGAAUCCAGGCCCUACGGGGCGCAGCAGGCGCGAAAACUUUACAAUGCGGGAAACCGUGAUAAGGGAACCCCGAGUGCCUGUAUAUGCAGGCUGUCCAGGUGUCUAAAAAACACCUGAAGAAAGGGCCGGGCAAGACCGGUGCCAGCCGCCGCGGUAAUACCGGCGGCUCGAGUGGUGGCCACUUUUAUUGGGCUUAAAGCGUUCGUAGCUGGGUUGUUAAGUCUCUUGGGAAAUCUGACGGCUUAACCGUCAGGCGUCUAAGAGAUACUGGCAAUCUUGGAACCGGGAGAGGUGAGGGGUACUUCGGGGGUAGGAGUGAAAUCCUGUAAUCCUCGAGGGACCACCUGUGGCGAAGGCGCCUCACCAGAACGGCUUCGACAGUGAGGGACGAAAGCUGGGGGAGCAAACCGGAUUAGAUACCCGGGUAGUCCCAGCCGUAAACGAUGCGCGUUAGGUGUAUCGGUGACCACGAGUCACCGAGGUGCCGAAGGGAAACUGUGAAACGUGCCGCCUGGGAAGUACGGUCGCAAGGCUGAAACUUAAAGGAAUUGGCGGGGGAGCAC